rnacentral:lncRNA from 1 species
CAUGGUAUGUUUGAUGGGAUGACUGAAACAGGAAAACUGUUAAAAUCUUGAAGUGGAAUGAGAAUGUUGUUUUCAAAGAAAAUAACAAAACAACAAAAAGUAAACCUUAAAAUGUGAAGAAAGUGUGAGUUUUAGUUUUGUCACAGUUAACUGUGUCAAGGAGAAUAAAAAAAAAAAAAACUCUUCUCAGAUUUUGUUUACAUAUUUUACUACAUUUUUGCUGGUAUAGUUCCUUAGCCACCUGUGUACAUACUGCUUUGAGAACUGUUCUUUCCUUUGUUUAUUUCCGUUUGUUUGAUUUCUGUUCUAGUUGUCUUUCUUUCUGAAAAGAGGAAACAAUGUACAGUAAAACAAUAAACUGGUUCUGUGGCCAUACCUAACCCGAAAGCAAGAGACGAAGCAAGACAAGUAUUUACAUGAAAAUGAAAUGUGUCCUCUGGAGGGUCAGAUAUAUACAGUUUCUUUUGUACAGAUGAAAAUCAAUCAGCUGUUUAGAUUUAGUAAUCUACUCUUGCUGGUCUUUGUAAGUUGCAUGAAUAUUUGACUUUGAGAAAAUAUCUUAAAGAUGUGGGGCAAAAAAUGCAAUCUCAAUGAUGGUAGCCUUUACUAAUGUGUAUGGAAAGAGGUGUUCCUCAUUACCUGAUAUUUCAAUGUGUUAAGAGUUUUGGAUUAUUUUAUUAUCAUUGGAAAAGACAGGAUUAUAAAGAGGUAUCAGAGCACGAUUUUAGAUAACUUAAAUGGCCCAACCUAUAUGAAGUUGAUUAUAUCUCGAUGUCUGUAAAAGAUUGCUGUUCUUGGAGUCUUGAGGUCUUGUGAACUGAUUUCCUGCUUUCUUUCUUUGCAUUUUUUUAUUUGAGUAAAAAUACAUUUGUUAUAUUCCUUUUAGUGUAAGUUUCUAUUUGGACAAUUUUAUGGGAACAUGUGCAUUCUGUAUGUUAGCUUCUAUCAUAUUCCUGUUGUUUUAUGAGCAAACUCUUAAGAAAUUUAUUUUAUGAUGUUGUGAAGUUACUGCUUUUUUUUCCCUUUUCUCUUUUAUUUCAUAUUUGCAUUUUUGUUCAAGGAUAUGCUUAGCAAUAAAAUGUUCUUCCCAA